UUCCAUCAACAAGUUGUCAUACUUAAAACCCACUUGAAGAAAAUCCUUCCUUUUAAGUGCCGCGUGAGUGCAGGUCAUUGCCACAAUUUUUGCCUGUUUGGUCAUCAGGUAAUUAGAUCGAUCAACAGUGGACUUGAGCAAUUCAAAUGCCCUACAUUCUUCGAGUUCUUGAAACAUUGUUUUCAAAUGACGAAAGCACCCCUCAGCUGAACGCAUAUCCUUUCCAAAAGACUGACCCGUGAAAACUGGCUGGGGAGUAUCAGAAAAAAAUUCCUUAAAGGGAAACUUAUCCUGAACAAUGGUUGGGUUAUCUUGUUCUGCAGCGCAAGCAGCUAAAAAUUGUUCCCACCGUGAGUAUACAUGAAGCAGCCAGAAGUAUCCCGCAGUUUCACAUGUAUAACCAACAUCUUCAGGAAGUUGAAGGGACCUUGCAAGGCGUUCGACUUCACUAAGCAGUUCCAGCCGCCGAACAAGCAUGGCAUUUACUCUCCCCUGACGACUGAAGUCAAGAUCAGUUGCUAGUUCUUGCUCUCCCUGACCAAGCCGGAGAAGGUAGCGAGCUGGCACAUCUCUUUGCAUUAUCUUCUCAAAAAGAUCAUUUAAAGCUUGAUUCGAAUGAGUGAUUAUCAGGGUCCGUUGAGAAGGGCAAUUAUGAUAGAGAACAUUCAAAACCUGCACAGCGGUAUCAGUCUUUCCCGUACCAGGGGGUCCCACAACCAUGGAUAAACCCGGCUGAACGCCUGAGAUGAUUGCUCCAACCUGCGUCGCGGUAAAUCUAACCGAGUUCCGCUUUGGUUGAUCCUGAGGAUAUGGACCUGGAUCAGGAGGGAUAUAUGCUUCGACAAUGAGCUUGUCUCUUUCGGAAUGAACUUCUGGCAUGCCUGCAGCAUCAACUGAAGCAG
rnacentral:misc_RNA from 1 species